rnacentral:rRNA from 1 species
UGGGGAAUAUUGGACAAUGGGCGCAAGCCUGAUCCAGCCAUGCCGCGUGUGUGAAGAAGGCCUUCUGGUUGUAAAGCACCUUAAGCGAGGAGGAGGCUACUUGGAUUAAUACUCUAGGAUAGUGGACGUUACUCGCAGAAUAAGCACCGGCUAACUCUGUGCCAGCAGCCGCGGUAAUACAGAGGGUGCGAGCGUUAAUCGGAUUUACUGGGCGUAAAGCGUGCGUAGGCGGCUUCUUAAGUCGGAUGUGAAAUCCCUGAGCUUAACUUAGGAAUUGCAUUCGAUACUGGGAAGCUAGAGUAUGGGAGAGGAUGGUAGAAUUCCAGGUGUAGCGGUGAAAUGCGUAGAGAUCUGGAGGAAUACCGAUGGCGAAGGCAGCCAUCUGGCCUAAUACUGACGCUGAGGUACGAAAGCAUGGGGAGCAAACAGG